rnacentral:rRNA from 1 species
GACGUAGGGCGCAAGCGUUGUCCGGAUUUAUUGGGCGUAAAGAGCUCGUAGGCGGUGUGUCGCGUCGGCCGUGAAAACCUGCAGCUUAACUGUGGGCUUGCGGUCGAUACGGGCAUCACUGGAGUUCGGCAGGGGAGACUGGAAUUCCUGGUGUAGCGGUGAAAUGCGCAGAUAUCAGGAAGAACACCAAUGGCGAAAGCAGCUCUCUGGGACGGUACUGACGCUGAGACGCGAAAGCGUGGGGAGCGAACAGG